CCACAAUAGAAUUAACAAUCCAAAAGUACAAAUAAAGUUGUCUUCACCAAAACUUAGAUAUACUUGAUUCACAAGGCACUUUUUUGGUAUUUCUUGAAGCAAAUUUUUGCAUGUGGUAAUUUUUGCCUGAAUCGAAUUGUAUCCUUUUUGGGACACGACUCGUACGGCAACGAUUCAAGAUCGUUCAAAAGAGAAAACUCGGAUAUAGUGAUUAUGGAGCGCGCGUUGUCUACAUUGAGGUAGUUAUGACUUCUCAUUUGUAAAUUCAUGCUAAUUUAUUGGAAUUGGGGUUGGGUAGUAGUUGAUCAUGCUUGAUUAUACAAAAUCAUGCUUUAGGCCUUAUUUUUGGAUUUUGGGGGAGCUCUAUAUGCCUCAUUUUGCUUUGUGAUCAUACCUUACCUUGUGGUUGUCGCUUUGUGAACAUUGUUGAAUUUUUUAUUGGUCUUAGCCUAGGUUUAGGUUACUGUUGCCUUAGACUCGCAUUAUGGAGCCAAUAAGCAUUAGAAUUGA